rfam:Loa loa cont3.3552, whole genome shotgun sequence.
GAAUGCAGACAGCAAAGAGAGCCAUCUGUUGACAGUCAUAUAUUGCAACUGUCAUGGAACUGCUCUCUUUAUGUCCCUGCGU